GCUCAGAUUGAACGCUGGCGGCAGGCCUAACACAUGCAAGUCGAACGGUAGCACAGAGAGCUUGCUCUCGGGUGACGAGUGGCGGACGGGUGAGUAAUGUCUGGGAAACUGCCUGAUGGAGGGGGAUAACUACUGGAAACGGUAGCUAAUACCGCAUAACGUCGCAAGACCAAAGAGGGGGACCUUCGGGCCUCUUGCCAUCAGAUGUGCCCAGAUGGGAUUAGCUAGUAGGUGGGGUAACGGCUCACCUAGGCGACGAUCCCUAGCUGGUCUGAGAGGAUGACCAGCCACACUGGAACUGAGACACGGUCCAGACUCCUACGGGAGGCAGCAGUGGGGAAUAUUGCACAAUGGGCGCAAGCCUGAUGCAGCCAUGCCGCGUGUAUGAAGAAGGCCUUCGGGUUGUAAAGUACUUUCAGCGGGGAGGAAGGCAUUAAGGUUAAUAACCUUAUUGAUUGACGUUACCCGCAGAAGAAGCACCGGCUAACUCCGUGCCAGCAGCCGCGGUAACUAUCGGAGGGUGCAAGCGUUAAUCGGAAUUACUGGGCGUAAAGCGCACGCAGGCGGUCUGUCAAGUCGGAUGUGAAAUCCCCGGGCUCAACCUGGGAACUGCAUUCGAAACUGGCAGGCUGGAGUCUUGUAGAGGGGGGUAGAAUUCCAGGUGUAGCGGUGAAAUGCGUAGAGAUCUGGAGGAAUACCGGUGGCGAAGGCGGCCCCCUGGACAAAGACUGACGCUCAGGUGCGAAAGCGUGGGGAGCAAACAGGAUUAGAUACCCUGGUAGUCCACGCUGUAAACGAUGUCGACUUGGAGGUUGUUCCCUUGAGGAGUGGCUUCCGGAGCUAACGCGUUAAGUCGACCGCCUGGGGAGUACGGCCGCAAGGUUAAAACUCAAAUGAAUUGACGGGGGCCCGCACAAGCGGUGGAGCAUGUGGUUUAAUUCGAUGCAACGCGAAGAACCUUACCUACUCUUGACAUCCAGAGAACUUAGCAGAGAUGCUUUGGUGCCUUCGGGAACUCUGAGACAGGUGCUGCAUGGCUGUCGUCAGCUCGUGUUGUGAAAUGUUGGGUUAAGUCCCGCAACGAGCGCAACCCUUAUCCUUUGUUGCCAGCGGUCCGGCCGGGAACUCAAAGGAGACUGCCAGUGAUAAACUGGAGGAAGGUGGGGAUGACGUCAAGUCAUCAUGGCCCUUACGAGUAGGGCUACACACGUGCUACAAUGGCAUAUACAAAGAGAAGCGACCUCGCGAGAGCAAGCGGACCUCAUAAAGUAUGUCGUAGUCCGGAUUGGAGUCUGCAACUCGACUCCAUGAAGUCGGAAUCGCUAGUAAUCGUGGAUCAGAAUGCCACGGUGAAUACGUUCCCGGGCCUUGUACACACCGCCCGUCACACCAUGGGGAGUGGGUUGCAAAAAGAAGUAGGUAGCUUAACCUUCGGGAGGGCGCUUACCACUUUGUGAUUCUGACU
rnacentral:rRNA from 1 species